UAAAGCGGGUGAAAAGCCCGCUCGCCGGAAGACCAAGGGUUCCUGUCCAACGUUAAUCGGGGCAGGGUGAGUCGACCCCUAAGGCGAGGCCGAAAGGCGUAGUCGAUGGGAAACAGGUUAAUAUUCCUGUACUUGGUGUUACUGCGAAGGGGGGACGGAGAAGGCUAUGUUAGCCGGGCGACGGUUGUCCCGGUUUAAGCAUGUAGGCUGGUUGUCCAGGCAAAUCCGGAUAAUCAAGGCUGAGGUGUGAUGACGAGGCACUACGGUGCUGAAGUAACAAAUGCCCUGCUUCCAGGAAAAGCCUCUAAGCAUCAGGUAACAUCAAAUCGUACCCCAAACCGACACAGGUGGUCAGGUAGAGAAUACCAAGGCGCUUGAGAGAACUCGGGUGAAGGAACUAGGCAAAAUGGUGCCGUAACUUCGGGAGAAGGCACGCUGGUGUGUAGGUGAAGUCCCUGCGGAUGGAGCUGAGACCAGUCGAAGAUACCAGCUGGCUGCAACUGUUUAUUAAAAACACAGCACUGUGCAAACACGAAAGUGGACGUAUACGGUGUGACGCCUGCCCGGUGCCGGAAGGUUAAUUGAUGGGGUUAUCCGUAAGGAGAAGCUCUUGAUCGAAGCCCCGGUAAACGGCGGCCGUAACUAUAACGGUCCUAAGGUAGCGAAAUUCCUUGUCGGGUAAGUUCCGACCUGCACGAAUGGCGUAAUGAUGGCCAGGCUGUCUCCACCCGAGACUCAGUGAAAUUGAACUCGCUGUGAAGAUGCAGUGUACCCGCGGCAAGACGGAAAGACCCCGUGAACCUUUACUAUAGCUUGACACUGAACAUUGAGCCUUGAUGUGUAGGAUAGGUGGGAGGCUUUGAAGCGUGGACGCCAGUCUGCGUGGAGCCAACCUUGAAAUACCACCCUUUAAUGUUUGAUGUUCUAACGUUGGCCCCUUACCGGGGUUGCGGACAGUGUCUGGUGGGUAGUUUGACUGGGGCGGUCUCCUCCCAAAGCGUAACGGAGGAGCACGAAGGUUAGCUAAUCCUGGUCGGACAUCAGGAGGUUAGUGCAAUGGCAUAAGCUAGCUUGACUGCGAGCGUGACGGCGCGAGCAGGUGCGAAAGCAGGUCAUAGUGAUCCGGUGGUUCUGAAUGGAAGGGCCAUCGCUCAACGGAUAAAAGGUACUCCGGGGAUAACAGGCUGAUACCGCCCAAGAGUUCAUAUCGACGGCGGUGUUUGGCACCUCGAUGUCGGCUCAUCACAUCCUGGGGCUGAAGUAGGUCCCAAGGGUAUGGCUGUUCGCCAUUUAAAGUGGUACGCGAGCUGGGUUUAGAACGUCGUGAGACAGUUCGGUCCCUAUCUGCCGUGGGCGCUGGAGAAUUGAGGGGGGCUGCUCCUAGUACGAGAGGACCGGAGUGGACGCAUCACUGGUGUUCGGGUUGUCAUGCCAAUGGCACUGCCCGGUAGCUAAAUGCGGAAGAGAUAAGUGCUGAAAGCAUCUAAGCACGAAACUUGCCCCGAGAUGAGUUCUCCCUGAGACUUUAAGUCUCCUGAAGGAACGUUGAAGACGACGACGUUGAUAGGCCGGGUGUGUAAGCGCAGCGAUGCGUUGAGCUAACCGGUACUAAUGAACCGUGAGGCUUAACCUUACAACGCCGAAG
rnacentral:rRNA from 1 species